rnacentral:tRNA from 1 species
GCCCGGCUAGCGCGGUCGGUAGAGCAUGAGACUCUUGAUCUCAGGGUCGUGGGUUCGAGCCCCACGUUGGGCG